CGGGAAGAGCUCAAAUUUAAAAUCUGGCGGUGUAUUCCGUCCGAGUUGUAGUCUAGAGAAGCAUCAUCCGUGCUGGACCAUGUACAAGUCCUCUGGAAUGGGGUGUCAUAGAGGGUGAGAAUCCCGUCUUUGAUAUGGACUACCAGUGCUUUGUGGUGCGCUCUC
rnacentral:rRNA from 1 species